AACGAACGCUGGCGGCAUGCCUAACACAUGCAAGUCGAACGAGACCUUCGGGUCGAGUGGCGCACGGGUGCGUAACGCGUGGGAACCUGCCCUUAGGUUCGGAAUAACUCCCCGAAAGGGGUGCUAAUACCGGAUAAUGUCUUCGGACCAAAGAUUUAUCGCCUUUGGAUGGGCCCGCGUUGGAUUAGCUAGUUGGUAGGGUAAAAGCCUACCAAGGCGACGAUCCAUAGCUGGUCUGAGAGGAUGAUCAGACACACUGGGACUGAGACACGGCCCAGACUCCUACGGGAGGCAGCAGUGGGGAAUAUUGGAAAAUGGGCGGAAGCCUGAUCCAGCAAUGCCGCGUGAGUGAUGAAGGCCUUAGGGUUGUAAAGCUCUUUUACCCGGGAUGAUAAUGACAGUACCGGGAGAAUAAGCUCCGGCUAACUCCGUG
rnacentral:rRNA from 1 species